rnacentral:rRNA from 1 species
CAAAAACAUGUCUCUUUGUUAUAUAUAAAUAAAGAGUUGGGCCUGCUCGGUGAAUAAUUUUUAACAGCUGCGGUAUUUUAACUGUACUAAGGUAGCAUAAUAAUUUGCCUUAUAAUUUGAGGCUAGAAUGAAUGGUUUGACGAAGGUUAAUCUGUCUCUAUCUUAUUUUUUAGAAUUUAAUUUUUAAAGUGAAAAAGCUUGAAUUUUUUAAAGGGACGAGAAGACCCUAAUGAGCUUAUAAUUUUAUUAUUAUUAUUUAAUAUAUUUAAAUAAUAAUAUAUAAAUUUUAAUUGGGGUGAUUAAGGAAUAAAAGAAUUAUAUAAUAACUUCCUUAGAUUAAAUAUAUAUAUAUAAAGUAACCAAUAAUAUAUUGCUUAUAAUAUAGUUACCAUAGGGAUAACAGCGUAAUUUGUUUAGAGAGUUCUUAUUGAAAAACAAGAUUGCGACCUCGAUGUUGGAUUAAAGUAACCUUAAGGUGCAGAAGCUUUAGUAAGGUAAAUCUGUUCGA